AGCUCCAAUAGCGUAUAUUAAAGUUGUUGCAGUUAAAAAGCUCGUAGUCGAAUUUUGGCAUCACGCCGAACUGUCUGCCGAUUGGUAAGCACGGUUUGGCGGUUGCUUCCUUCCGGAGGCUCGUUUCCUUCUUAACUGAAGGGUUCGUAGGUUUCGGUUCUUUUACUUUGAGAAAAUUAGAGUGUUCAAAGCAGGCCUAUGCUCUGAAUAGGUUAGCAUGGAAUAAUGGAAUAGGACUUUGGUUCUAUUUUGUUGGUUUCUAGGACCGAAGUAAUGAUUAAUAGGGACAGUUGGGGGCAUUCAUAUUCCAUUGUCAGAGGUGAAAUUCUUGGAUUAACGGAAGAUGAACUUCUGCGAAAGCAUCUGCCAAGGAUGUUUUCA
rnacentral:rRNA from 1 species